rnacentral:rRNA from 1 species
GACGAACGCUGGCGGCGUGCUUAACACAUGCAAGUCGAGCGGUAAGGCCCUUUCGGGGGUACACGAGCGGCGAACGGGUGAGUAACACGUGGGUGACCUGCCUUUAGCUCUGGGAUAAGCCUGGGAAACUGGGUCUAAUACCGGAUAUGACUCCAUGAUGCAUGUUGUGGGGUGGAAAGCCUUGCGCGGCUGGAGAUGGGCCCGCGGCCUAUCAGCUUGUUGGUGGGGUGANGGCCCUACCAAGGCGACGACGGGUAGCCGGCCUGAGAGGGCGACCGGCCACACUGGGACUGAGACACGGCCCAGACUCCUACGGGAGGCAGCAGUGGGGAAUCUUGCGCAAUGGGCGAAAGCCUGACGCAGCGACGCCGCGUGAGGGAUGACGGCCU